rnacentral:misc_RNA from 1 species
UUGGAUGGACAAAUAACUGAGAUAGUUUAUAAGGGUAGCCAUAACCAUCCUAAGCCUCAAUCUACUAGGAGAUCAUCUUCUUCUUUCAUCAGCUUCCAAUCAAGCAAUGAUAGCUCCUAAUCUUGCAUCAAGUGAGAUGCAAGAUCAAUCACUUGUCACCCAUGGCAGUGGACAAAUGGAUUCUGUUGCAACCCCUGAGAAUUCUUCAAUAUCCAUAGGGGAUGAUGAUUUCGAUUCGCAGAAGAGUAAAUCCAGGAGCGAUGAAUUUGAUGAAGAUGAACCAGAGGCCAAAAGAUGGAAAGCGGAAGGUGAAAAUGAAGAAAUUUCAGCACCUGGAAGCAGAACAGUGAGAGAACCUAGAGUUGUGGUUCAAACCACUAGUGACAUUGACAUUCUUGAUGAUGGAUACAGAUGGAGAAAAUAUGGACAGAAAGUGGUCAAGGGAAAUCCAAAUCCUAGGAGCUACUACAAGUGUACACAUCCAGGAUGUCCUGUAAGAAAGCAUGUAGAGAGAGCAUCCCAUGAUCUUAGGGCAGUGAUCACAACCUAUGAGGGGAAGCACAACCAUGAUAUUCUUGCUGCUCGUGGCAGCAACUCUGCGAAUAGGCCAUUGCCUGAGAACAACAACGGCAGCAUCAAUAGCAACAAAAAUGCAGCUAUGGCGGUAAGGCCAUUGGCUUUGAUCCAUCAUUCUAACAACUUGACAAACCCACUUCGCCAUCUAAGGCUACCAGCAACAUCUGAAGGGGAAGCACACUUUUCACUAGAGAUGCUUCAGAAUCCAGACAAUUUUACUUUCUCAGGAUUUGGCAAUGUACACUAAUCAAUCAUCAACAGAAUGUUUUUUCCGGAGCCAAGGAAGAACCAAGGGCUGAAAUGUUCCUGGAAUCAUUGCUAUGCUGAAAUUUGCAGGUUUCUGGAGGAUUAAAAAUCAGAAAGAAUAGAAAAGAAGGUCAAGUUCAUUAGAUUAAUUGCAUAUUGUUUUUUUGUUGUGUAUAUUUUACAGCCAAGGCAUUUUGAUUUUGUAGUGUUGUAAAAGUUGUAUUGGUGUAGGCUAGGGAGUGUUAUCUAAAUUUAUUUUUUUAUUGUUUUGGGGCCUUUAUCAGUCAAAAUUACAAGCCUCGAUUCAAUAUGGUAUAUCACACAUUGGGUUAAAAUUUAGAUUCAUUUUGAUUACCAUGAC